GAUGAAGAACGUAGCGAAAUGCGAUAAGUAAUGCGAAUUGCAGAAUUCAGUGAAUCAUCGAAUCUUUGAACGCACAUUGCGCCCGCCAGUACUCUGGCGGGCAUGCCUGUCUGAGCCUCAUUUCAACCCUCGCGCCCGGCUUCUGUCGGGGGCGGUGUUGGGGAUCGGCCUCCCGUCUUCCGGGCGGCCGGCCCCUAAAUGGAGUGGCGACCGCGCCGUAGCCUCCUCUGCGUAGUAGUGAAACACUCGCGGGCGGAGAGCGGUGCGGCCCGCCGUAAAACCCCCAACUCUUCUAAGGUUGACCUCAGAUCAGGUAGGAAUACCCGCUGAACUUAAGCAUAUCAAUAAGCGGAGGA
rnacentral:misc_RNA from 1 species